rnacentral:snRNA from 1 species
AAAAAAAAAGCGAAGAUUAGCAUGGCCCCUGUGCAAGGGUGACAUACAAAUUCGUGAAGUGUUCCAUAUUUUA